rnacentral:rRNA from 1 species
GACGAACGCUGGCGGCGUGCUUAACACAUGCAAGUCGAACGAAGUGGCGAACGGGAGAGUAACGCGUCAUCAACCUGCCCUUCAGAGGGGGACAAAAGCUGGAAACGACUGCUAAUACCGCAUACUGAAGGAGGGGAGUGCGGUUGAUUAGCAAGUUGGAGGGGUAACGGCCACCCAAGGCGAUGAUCAGUAGCCGGGUCGAGAGGAUGAUCGGCUACAUUGGGACCGAGACACGGCCCAGACUCCUACGGGAGGCAGCAGUGGGGAAUCUUCCGCAAUGGACGGAAGUCUGACGGAGCAACGCCGCGGGAGUGAUGACGGCCUUCGGGUUGGAAAGCUCUGUUAAUCGGGACGCGGUACCGAAAUAGAAAGCCACGGCUAACUACGUGCCAGCAGCCGCGGUAAUAC